AUUAUUGACAGAGAGAGACAACAUGCGCAAAGGAGGGACAGAGAGAGGAGGAGACCCAGAAUCCGAAGCAGGCUCCAGGCUCUGAGCUGUCAGCACAGAGCCUGACGAUGUGGGGCUCGAACCCACAAACCACAAGACCCUGACCUGAGCCGGAGUCAGAUGCUUGACCGACUGAGCCACCCAGUUUCCCCAAACUCUAUACAAUCACAUGCUGUAUUCUCCUACAAUUUUAGCCAAGAUUGAGAAGACCGGACUGAAGAUCCGCUGAAAAAAGAAAGCCAGCAAGAAAGGGAUGCAAACCAAAAAUCUAAGUGACGGAAGAGAGAAUACUCUGCUUUAGGGAAGGACAUGCACUGGUGGAAAAUCUCAACAAUGGGGAGGGGGUGGGGGAGGGGAGGGAACCUUCCUGCAAGCUGUGAUGCAGGCACUUUGAUCUCUUAAAGCUGGGAUUUCUGUUAAACUAAAUUUGCAUACAAAGAGGAUUAUUCCGCAUAUCAUUUUAAUAAGAAUAUGAAAACCCAGCAACAUGUAAUGUUUUCAUGGGAGACUUGAGGCUCUGUCUUCCUAAAAUACAUUUAUUGGUAUUCGUGAUGCAAUAUGUAAAUACCAUAAAAAUAAAUAUCCACAGU